GAUGAACGCUGGCGGCGUGCCUAAUACAUGCAAGUCGAGCGAACGGACGAGAAGCUUGCUUCUCUGAUGUUAGCGGCGGACGGGUGAGUAACACGUGGAUAACCUACCUAUAAGACUGGGAUAACUUCGGGAAACCGGAGCUAAUACCGGAUAAUAUUUUGAACCGCAUGGUUCAAAAGUGAAAGACGGUCUUGCUGUCACUUAUAGAUGGAUCCGCGCUGCAUUAGCUAGUUGGUAAGGUAACGGCUUACCAAGGCAACGAUGCAUAGCCGACCUGAGAGGGUGAUCGGCCACACUGGAACUGAGACACGGUCCAGACUCCUACGGGAGGCAGCAGUAGAGAAUCUUCCGCAAUGGGCGAAAGCCUGACGGAGCAACGCCGCGUGAGUGAUGAAGGUCUUCGGAUCGUAAAACUCUGUUAUUAGGGAAGAACAUAUGUGUAAGUAACUGUGCACAUCUUGACGGUACCUAAUCAGAAAGCCACGGCUAACUACGUGCCAGCAGCCGCGGUAAUACGUAGGUGGCAAGCGUUAUCCGGAAUUAUUGGGCGUAAAGCGCGCGUAGGCGGUUUUUUAAGUCUGAUGUGAAAGCCCACGGCUCAACCGUGGAGGGUCAUUGGAAACUGGAAAACUUGAGUGCAGAAGAGGAAAGUGGAAUUCCAUGUGUAGCGGUGAAAUGCGCAGAGAUAUGGAGGAACACCAGUGGCGAAGGCGACUUUCUGGUCUGUAACUGACGCUGAUGUGCGAAAGCGUGGGGAUCGAACAGGAUUAGAUACCCUGGCAGUCCACGCCGUAAACGAUGAGUGCUAAGUGUUAGGGGGUUUCCGCCCCUUAGUGCUGCAGCUAACGCAUUAAGCACUCCGCCUGGGGAGUACGACCGCAAGGUUGAAACUCAAAGGAAUUGACGGGGACCCGCACAAGCGGUGGAGCAUGUGGUUUAAUUCGAAGCAACGCGAAGAACCUUACCAAAUCUUGACAUCCUUUGACAACUCUAGAGAUAGAGCCUUCCCCUUCGGGGGACAAAGUGACAGGUGGUGCAUGGUUGUCGUCAGCUCGUGUCGUGAGAUGUUGGGUUAAGUCCCGCAACGAGCGCAACCCUUAAGCUUAGUUGCCAUCAUUAAGUUGGGCACUCUAAGUUGACUGCCGGUGACAAACCGGAGGAAGGUGGGGAUGACGUCAAAUCAUCAUGCCCCUUAUGAUUUGGGCUACACACGUGCUACAAUGGACAAUACAAAGGGCAGCGAAACCGCGAGGUCAAGCAAAUCCCAUAAAGUUGUUCUCAGUUCGGAUUGUAGUCUGCAACUCGACUACAUGAAGCUGGAAUCGCUAGUAAUCGUAGAUCAGCAUGCUACGGUGAAUACGUUCCCGGGUCU
rnacentral:rRNA from 1 species